rnacentral:lncRNA from 1 species
CAUAUAAACCUGAUUGAAACAAAGUUGUUUCAAAUGCAUAUAAUGCAACUAUAGCAGAAAGAGGAACAAGAUGAAGAACAUAUAUAUUCUCUUAAUUACAAGGUACAAUUUUCCUCACAUAGAUAUCAUUCAUUCAUUACAAGGGCAUCAACUGUCUUCUCUUAUUGCAGGAAAGAUUUUUUACAAUCAAUUUCCUUCCAGAGCUAAAGAAAAUCUAUGGACUUGAAAGAUGCAACUUCUUCCACCAUUGUUGCUUUAUAUAUGCUAUGCCCUUGAUCCAAAAAAAGGUAAGUUCCGAAGUUGCACGAUCCGAUCUCAAGUUUGGGUGUAAAUAACUAAUAUAUCUCAAGGGUGUUGAGAUGCUAGCAUUUUCCAUUUACAUUGCAUUACAGAUACCAGAAACUAGGCUCUAUCAUUUACAGCUAUGGCCGGGCUCAUCUUCUUCUUCCUCUCACUAAAACUAUGGCAAGAAAGCAAACUGGGAAGGCAACAUUGUGCAGAUUUAAUUGAUUUCUCCUUCUGAAAUAAGGGUUCUCCAUUAGCAGUCCGUUCGCUACUACAGACGCUGUUAGGUCCAGAGACAUAUGGGGUACCAGAUGCAGACUUGGGAAGAACAUCAAGAAUGGUUUGUUUGACUUCUAUCUUUCCAUUGUUGAUAUUUUGGUUGUCUGAAGUUUGCUGAUCAUCAGUGUCUGGCUCCUCUCUCCGACUCUCCCGGAAAAGUUCAGAUAACUUCUUUUUCACUGUUGGUGAUGGUUCAGGUUUGGAAGCUGGAGAUCUGUCCUCCAAAUUGGUUUUGUUGAUUUUAGGGGUCCCCAUGGCAAAGCUAUGAUGCACUGGGGUACUGCCACGAGAUGGCGUAAAUUCUGCACAGUUAAGGCCAAAAAUCAUGUAAUUAGCAAAAUAUGACAAAACUGGCUGGCAAUAAUCAAUUAAAAUUCAAUCCUUUCUUCAACUUUGAAUCAAUUCCAAAAAAUCUGAUAACAAGUAAGCUGCCGGUAUAGUUAAUUUCAAUCUGACAAAACUAAUGACCACCUGUAAUAAGCUUUCAGGAAAAUAUGCUCUACAAGAAGACCAUUUUCUU